GCCGUCGAUGGCUCAGGUGGAUAGAGCGUCUGCCUUGUAAGCAGGAUAUCUCGGGUUCGAGUCCCGAUCGGGGCA
rnacentral:tRNA from 1 species